rnacentral:rRNA from 1 species
GACGAACGCUGGCGGCGUGCUUAACACAUGCAAGUCGAACGGUAAGGCCCUUCGGGGUACACGAGUGGCGAACGGGUGAGUAACACGUGGGAGAUCUGCCCUGCACUUCGGGAUAAGCCUGGUAAACUGGGUCUAAUACCGGAAAGGACUCCGGAACGCAUGGUCGGGGGUGGAAAGCUUUUGCGGUGUGGGAUGGGCCCGCGGCCGAUCAGCUUGGUGGUGGGGUGAUGGCCUACCAAGGCGACGACGGGUAGCCGGCCUGAGAGGGGGACCGGCCACACUGGGACUGAGAUACGGCCCAGACUCCUACGGGAGGCAGCAGUGGGGAAUAUUGCACAAUGGGCGCAAGCCUGAUGCAGCGACGCCGCGUGAGGGAUGACGGCCUUCGGGUUGUAAACCUCUUUCAGCAUCGACGAAGCGAAAGUGACGGUAGGUGCAGAAGAAGGACCGGCCAACUACGUGCCAGCCGCCGCCGUAA